rnacentral:rRNA from 1 species
GUGGGGAAUUUUGCACAAUGGGCGGAAGCCUGAUGCAGCGACGCCGCGUGGAGGACGAAGGCCUUCGGGUUGUAAACUCCUUUUAUCGGGGAAGAUAAUGACGGUACCCGAUGAAUAAGCCACGGCUAACUCUGUGCCAGCAGCCGCGGUAAGACAGAGGUGGCAAGCGUUGUUCGGAAUUACUGGGCUUAAAGGGCGCGUAGGCGGUGGGACAAGUCUGAGGUGGAAUUCUAGAGCUUAACUGUAGGAUUGCCUUGGAAACUGUUUCACUUGAGUCGGACAGGGGAAGGCGGAAUUCCUGGUGUAGCGGUGAAAUGCGUAGAUAUCAGGAGGAAGGCCUGUGGCGAAGGCGGCCUUCUGGGUCUUGACUGACGCUGAGGCGCGAAAGCGUGGGGAGCAAACAGGAUUAGAAACCCUAGUAGUCC